GAUGAACGCUGGCGGCGUGCCUAAUACAUGCGAGUCGAGCGAAUGGAUUAAGAGCUUGCUCUUAUGAAGUUAGCGGCGGACGGGUGAGUAACACGUGGGUAACCUGCCCAUAAGACUGGGAUAACUCCGGGAAACCGGGGCUAAUACCGGAUAACAUUUUGAACCGCAUGGUUCGAAAUUGAAAGGCGGCUUCGGCUGUCACUUAUGGAUGGACCCGCGUCGCAUUAGAUAGUUGGUGAGGUAACGGCUCACCAAGGCAACGAUGCGUAGCCGACCUGAGAGGGUGAUCGGCCACACUGGGACUGAGACACGGCCCAGACUCCUACGGGAGGCAGCAGUGGGGAAUCUUCCGCAAUGGACGAAAGUCUGACGGAGCAACGCCGCGUGAGUGAUGAAGGCUUUCGGGUCGUAAAACUCUGUUGUUAGGGAAGAACAAGUGCUAGUUGAAUAAGCUGGCACCUUGACGGUACCUAACCAGAAAGCCACGGCUAACUACGUGCCAGCCGCCGCAGUAA
rnacentral:rRNA from 1 species